rfam:Felis catus isolate Cinnamon breed Abyssinian chromosome B3, whole genome shotgun sequence.
GCCUGGGUGGCUCGUCGGUUAAGCGUCUGACUUCGGCUCAGGUCAUGAUCUCAUAGUCUGUGGGUUCGAGCCCCGCAUCGGGCU